UUUAGUUAGUGUUUUGAAUUUUAAUUUAAAAAUAAAUGGGAUGUUAUCAAGUGGUAAAGUUAAUAAAUGUAAAUGAAAAAAAAAAUUACAAACGCAGGACCAAUUUGGUUCGGCCAAAUCAGGAUAAUGGUCCGGAACUUCCGAGCGUUACUUAGAAUUAUAGUUUUCCAUUUCAUUUUUAUUUGUAAUUGUAUCUAAAAAAAAUGAAGAGAAAAAAGUAAGAAAGAAAGGAAGUGGGAAAAAGGUGGUUGCCCGUUUUAAAACUACUGAGUACGCCGUAUCUGUUUGAUCCGCCUUGUGUUCCAUUUGAUAUUUAGAAGAUGAUGCAAUAGCAAAGGCUGAAACAACAAGCAUUGAUGUAGCAAUUCCUUUAUCAUCCCGGUCUCCUAGCACCCCCUUAGGUUUUUCAGUUAUCUGUAUAAAGCCAGCAUCCUGAUCCACAAGGCUCCAUUUAGUUUUUAUUUUUUUUGACAGGCAGAUGAAGAGAGUUUAGGGUCGCAUUUCCUAAUUUUUUUUUUUGGGCGGUAUGACGGUAUGGUUGUCCGAGAUUUCUAUAUUGUUCUCAACUUCCGUUUAAAGGUAUCUGAUUAUGAUGUUGUUGAAUGCUAGUAGUUCCAUUAGUCGCAACAAUAGUUGUUCAAUGAAUGUCUAAAUUUCAUUAAUCUUUGUUUACUGCCCUUGUGGCGAAAGCUGGUGGCUUUUUGUUUUGUUUUAUGACGAGCUACCCCUUUUUCCAAUACAUGUAAAUAGGCUAAUAGCUAUGGGAUAUAGCUUCUUACGGUAAUCAUAUCUUCCUUAGCGUUUGUUCGUAGGAUUCAAGUUCAAAGUAUUUUAGUCACUGUUCAUGUAAAAAUAAUGACCAUUAUAGCUUUCUUGGUCUGAUAAUUAAGUUCUCUAAUUUGGUUUUAUUGUUUAGUUAUGCAUGUUGGUUCCUGCUGAAAAGGUUGUUGAUUGAUCUACUUUGAUUCCCAUCAUCAAUGCCAGCAGCUGCUGCAAUCUUUACUGCGCACUCUCGGUGUGUCUAAUGAGCGGGAAUAAAACCUGUGAGAAGCAUAGCAGCUACGUUAAAGAUCAACUUUUGAAUGCUCGAAAUUGAUGGUUUCUUUUCCAUCAGAAGGCUACUAUUGGGAAGCUUACUGAUGUGCACCGAAAGUACAACGCUUCUAAAUGUAGAUAUGCUGCUAGAUGUGAACCAACCUUUUUUCUAUUAGAAGGAUGGUUCUAUGUUAGAAUGUGAAGUGAAGAAAUUAAAGUCACGGUGAUAAUAAGCUGCUUCAACCAUCAACCUCUAGCACUCUGCAGAUCAAUUAGUUUAGUUUCCUCAUAAUCUUGUGUAUCAGCAGGGUUUAUGCAUAUUUCAUUUUGCAUCCUGUAUGCAGCUAAAUUGAACGGACUUUAAUUUUGUUGUCACCCUUCCCUUUAUAUCAUCUGAAAAAUAGAAGGUAAAUAGUUAUACGUCAUUUAAACAGCUUAUUCUUUAGAAACAAAAGUUUUGCACGUUUCACUAUAACAAAUUGCUUUGGUUGAUGUAAGAUGAGUAUUCUCUAUUUAUAGUCACUCUUAAUUGUGUUAGUUGCAGUGACAUCCUUUUUGUUUUCACCAUUUCCUAUUUUCUAGAAUUCAAGAACUGCUGUUAGGCAAAACCAAUGUCAUUCAUGCCGCUGCAGUUAUAUUAUGUUUUGUAAGGUCACAGUUCAGCUGCUAACCUCUUAAACAGGAUUCAAGUAGCACAUCUUAACAUCUAAAGUCACAUGAUUUUUGUUAUGAGCAAAGUGACAGAAGGUGCAUUUGACUUGCAGAGCAUUUGAGCAGCAAAUGGAACUUAGGGAGAGAGGUUUGUAGUCAGGAUAUGAGAAUAAGCAUGAUGAAUUUGUUACUGGGGAAGUCCUAUUUCAGGAGGCAUCGGCCAUGAUCACAUUGAUAAAGUCUCAUUUAAUCGGCUGGCGUGUUUCUUCUCUCCGCUAUUUUAUGUUAUUCUAUCCUUUAUAAUUGACACACCAACUAUAUUCUCCAUUAGCAAAAAGUGAAGGAUAAUAGACGAAGAUGAAUGAACAAAAUAAGAAGUUGCUGGCGAAUGAGAGGCAGAUAUACAAAGCUGUGUUUAGUUUGAACAAUGUAAUACUGUCCGCAAAGGAGAAUCUUUUGAUCCGAUAUCUUAGUACAAAGCGGGAAAGAUGAAUACUAUUGCCUGCCUCAAAAUUAUUAUUACUUUUUUAAUCCUUUAAUUGCUUUUUGCACUACAUGUAGAGUUUGAGGAUCUAUUAUACAUAUAAGAACCUUUU